rnacentral:rRNA from 1 species
GACGAACGCUGGCGGCGUGCUUAACACAUGCAAGUCGAGCGGUAAGGCCCUUUCGGGGGUACGACGAGCGGCGAACGGGUGAGUAACACGUGGGUGACCUGCCCUCAGCUCUGGGAUAAGCCUGGGAAACCGGGUCUAAUACCGGAUAUGACUCCAUGACGCAUGUUGUGGGGUGGAAAGCCUUGUGCGGCUGAGGAUGGGCCCGCGGCCUAUCAGCUUGUUGGUGGGGUGAGGCCUACCAAGGCGACGACGGGUAGCCGGCCUGAGAGGGCGACCGGCCACACUGGGAUUGAGACACGGCCCAGACUCCUACGGGAGGCAGCAGUGGGGAAUCUUGCGCAAUGGGCGAAAGCCUGACGCAGCGACGCCGCGUGAGGGAUGACGGCCUGG